rnacentral:rRNA from 1 species
CAGUCGUACAGGUAGCCGUAGAUUGCUGAAUGCUGACGAGCGGCGGACGGGUGAGUAAUGCCUAGGAAUCUGCCCGAUAGUGGGGGAUAACCUGGGGAAACCCCGGCUAAUACCGCAUACGUCCUACGGGAGAAAGGGGGCUCCGGCUCCCGCUAUGGGAUGAGCCUAUGUCGGAUUAGCUAGUUGGUGAGGUAACGGCUCACCAAGGCCACGAUCCGUAGCUGGUCUGAGAGGAUGAUCAGCCACAUCGGGACUGAGACACGGCCCGAACUCCUACGGGAGGCAGCAGUGGGGAACAUUGGACGAUGGGGGAAACCCUGAUCCAGCCAUGCCGCGUGUGUGAAGAAGGCCCUCGGGUUGUAAAGCACUUUCAACGAGGAAGAACGCCUAGCG